AAAAAACUUGAAAUGACGGUUAUGCCCUUUUAUUUUCUUUUUUGUAUUUUUUAUAAUUAACUUAAUACAAUUUUAACUUAAAAAAGGAAAGAAAAGGAUUAUCCCCAACCAUCUCUCUCUCCUCUCUCUCUCCACCACAAUAAACACACAUUCUCACAUAUAUCAUUGUCUCUCUCCUCUCUCUCUCUCUCCACCACAAUAAACACACAUUCUCACAUAUAUCAUUGAUGCAGAUUCAUCACCACCCCAUCCCAUCUUCUUCUUCCUCAUAUUUACCUGCAACUGAAACCUCUCACAUAUGCAUCCUGAAAAUCAAAUCUCUCACAAACAAAACCCGCUAACAGAGGUGUUGGUUCUAAGAAUCAAGACAUCUAAUGACAUCGCUCAGCCAUCGCUUCGUCUUCUUCGACAUUGUUUUAAAUAUUCUUCGGGGGUUUCAGUUUACAUCAUCUCAUCUUUUGGGUUUUUGAUUUCCACAAAGCGGGGUAAGAUUAGCAAGAAAAAAACACUUUUAAUUGCAAGAAUGAAUAUCAAAUAAGGGUGGGAUGAAACUGUAGUCACUUCUCCAUCAGCCUCAUCUUUGAACACACAAUUGAUGCAUCCAAAUCACUUACAAUUUUCCCUUAUUUUAGUUCCAACUCAUUAGUUUUGUAUUCCUAUUUCUAUACAUCUUCAUCUAUUUGCUGAAUUGGAUGUCUCAGGAAAGAAAAUUGGAAUCAUAUGCUUCUAAAUAGAUCAGAAAAAGAAGAAGGAAAACAAUGCACUCCAGGUGCUCGAUGAAACACCUGAAAGAAAAGUACCAUCAGAUAUUUCAAUACAUGAAAGAAAAGUAUCUUUACUGAGGAUCUAGAAAUGAAAUACUUCUAAAAUACAAACACAUAUCAUAAGAGAAAAGUAAAGGAAUCGAGAAUGAGUUCAUUGUUCAGCCAAGAAGGAAUCUGGAGUAUGUUGCAGUCAUAAAAGAUAGAUCAGAAGAAGAAGUUUAACCUUAUUGAACAUGUUGAGAGGAAUAUGAUUGGGUUUUUUAAUUGAAGAAUUUGCUUUUUUGGGUUAACUUAUGUGUAUUAUCUAGUAGCAAAAUUGUAAAAAAAUCUGGGUUUUUUCAUCGAUUUGUAGAUCACAGAAGAAGAAGAAGAAGAAGAAGAAGAAGAAGAAGAGAGAGAGAGAGAGAGAGAGAGAGAGAGAGUAUGUGUGUGUGUGUGAGUAAGUAUGGUGGGGUGGUUCGUAGCAAAUUGUUGUUUUUUGUUUUUGUUUUAAAUCAAAAUAGUAUUAAAAUAAUUGUAAAAAAGAAAAUGAAAGGGCAUAACCGUCUUUUCAAGUUUUUUUGGACCAAUAUCAAAGAAAAUUCUUGAUUUUGGACCUUCCAUGCAUGUCGAAAACUUUUUGGACCCUAUCCAAAGUUUUUUGAAUACCACAGGGACCAAAUUUAUAGUUUUGUCUAUUUAAAAUAUAAAAGUAUCUAACUACCAAAACCACUUCUUGUUUUGGAAGAGUUAUAAAACUCUUCUAGUUCUC
rnacentral:lncRNA from 1 species